rnacentral:rRNA from 1 species
AUUGAACGCUGGCGGCAGGCUAACACAUGCCAGUCGAGCGGAUGAAGGGAGCUUGCUCCUGGAUUCAGCGGCGGACGGGUGAGUAAUGCCUAGGAAUCUGCCUGGUAGUGGGGGAUAACGUCCGGAAACGGGCGCUAAUACCGCAUACGUCCUGAGGGAGAAAGUGGGGGAUCUUCGGACCUCACGCUACCAGAUGAGCCUAGGUCGGAUUAGCUAGUUGGUGGGGUAAAGGCCUACCAAGGCGACGAUCCGUAACUGGUCUGAGAGGAUGAUCAGUCACACUGGAACUGAGACACGGUCCAGACUCCUACGGGAGGCAGCAGUGGGGAAUAUUGGACAAUGGGCGAAAGCCUGAUCCAGCCAUGCCGCGUGUGUGAAGAAGGUCUUCGGAUUGUAAAGCACUUUAAGUUGGGAGGAAGGGCAGUAAGUUAAUACCUUGCUGUUUUGACGUUACCAACAGAAUAAGCACCGGCUAACUUCGUG